UCAAUGGCCAUUACCACCCUGCUUGUGCUGGAGCUCAUCUGAUCUCAGAAGCAAAGCAGGGUCAGGCCUGCUUAGUAAUCAGAUAGGAGAAAGAACAAGUGACUUGCC
ensembl:rRNA 5S_rRNA 5S ribosomal RNA